rnacentral:rRNA from 1 species
ACACUCCUACGGGAGGCAGCAGUGGGGAAUUUUGGACAAUGGGCGAAAGCCUGAUCCAGCAAUGCCGCGUGAGUGAAGAAGGCCUUCGGGUUGUAAAGCUCUUUUGUCAGGGAAGAAACGGUGAGAGCUAAUAUCUCUUGCUAAUGACGGUACCUGAAGAAUAAGCACCGGCUAACUACGUGCCAGCAGCCGCGGUAAUACGUAGGGUGCAAGCGUUAAUCGGAAUUACUGGGCGUAAAGCGUGCGCAGGCGGUUUUGUAAGUCUGAUGUGAAAUCCCCGGGCUCAACCUGGGAAUUGCAUUGGAGACUGCAAGGCUAGAAUCUGGCAGAGGGGGGUAGAAUUCCACGUGUAGCAGUGAAAUGCGUAGAUAUGUGGAGGAACACCGAUGGCGAAGGCAGCCCCCUGGGUCAAGAUUGACGCUCAUGCACGAAAGCGUGGGGAGCAAACAGGAUUAGAAACCCCGGUAGUCCCAU